rnacentral:misc_RNA from 1 species
AAGUCGUAACAAGGUUUCCGUAGGUGAACCUGCGGAAGGAUCAUUACAAAUUUGAGUGAAAGAUAUGUAGCAAUGUGGACGUACACUUGUAUGAAAUUAACCUAUUACAUAUAUAUACAACUUGUAACAAUGGAUCUCUUGGCUCUU